GGGCUGCAUUUCCUGAGGCGGCAGGAGCCCUGCAAGCCAUGCAACUCAGUUUCCUCAUCCAUGCAGUGGGGCUGUGGAGUGCCACCUGAACAUCAGGACCACCGUGAAGCACUCGGCAUGGUGCCUGCACAGGCGGUUCAUCCUAUGUGGAAAUAGACGUGGACCCUUCACCCACUCUGGCUUGCCCGUGGGAAAGUGGGGGGAACCCCCAGAGCGGGCCUGGAGCGAGCAGCAGCUCCUCGAUGGGCCCCCCUGUGCACGGCUCGAUAAUAACAGUGGAUGACGCUGGUCACUGAGUCAAAAGAACCCCUCAUUUUCAACAUAAAACCCCGCAGCUGCCGCCAGGAGCCGGGGCGCAUUGCACACCAGUCCACUACGCGCCAGGCGCCCUCGCCCCAGCCCACGUCCCUUUCCAUUAUCUGCCUCAGCCUCCCCAGCCUGCCACGCCAGCUGCAGCAGAAGGUCGGCAGCAAGCAGCCUCCGUCAAUAGCCGGUCUAAUGCCUGCUU